rnacentral:tRNA from 1 species
GCGAGAGUGGCGGAACUGGCAGACGCGCUGGACUUAGGAUCCAGUGGCCGAAAGGCCGUGGGGGUUCGACUCCCCCCUUUCGCA